GACGAACGCUGGCGGCGUGCUUAACAUAUGCAAGUCGAACGGUAAGGCCCUUCGGGGUACACGAGUGGCGAACGGGUGAGUAACACGUGGGGGAUCUGCCCUGCACUUCGGGAUAAGCCUGGGAAACUGGGUCUAAUACCGGAUAGGACUCCGGACUGCAUGGUCUGGGGUGGAAAGCUUUUGCGGUGUGGGAUGGGCCCGCGGCCUAUCAGCUUGUUGGUGGGGUGAUGGCCUACCAAGGCGACGACGGGUAGCCGGCCUGAGAGGGUGACCGGCCACACUGGGACUGAGAUACGGCCCAGACUCCUACGGGAGGCAGCAGUGGGGAAUAUUGCACAAUGGGCGCAAGCCUGAUGCAGCGACGCCGCGUGAGGGAUGACGGCCUUCGGGUUGUAAACCUCUUUCAGCAUCGACGAAGCGAAAGUGACGGUAGGUGCAGAAGAAGGACCGGCCAACUACGUGCCAGCAGCCGCAGUAA
rnacentral:rRNA from 1 species